rnacentral:rRNA from 1 species
UCCGUGCCGAGUUACACAUAGUAUCACUGGGGAAGUCGACCGCAAGGUUGAAACUCAAAGGAAUUGACGGGGGGCCGCACAACCAGUGGAGUAUGUUGUUUAUUCGAAGCAACGCGAAGACCCUUACCAGGUCUUGACAUCCCGUGCAUAGCCUAGAGAUAGGUGAAGUCCUUCGGGACACGAGACAGGUGGUGCAUGGUUGUCGUCAGCUCGUGUCGUGAGAUGUUGGGUUAAGUCCCGCAACGAGCGCAACCCUUAUCUUUAGUUGCUACGCAAGAGCACUCUAGCGAGACUGCCGUUGACAAAACGGAGGAAGGUGGGGACGACGUCAAAUCAUCAUGCCCCUUAUGUCCUGGGCCACACACGUACUACAAUGGUGGUUAACAGAGGGAGGCAAAACCGCGAGGUGGAGCAAAUCCCUAAAAGCCAUCCCAGUUCGGAUUGCAGGCUGAAACCCGCCUGUAUGAAGUUGGAAUCGCUAGUAAUCGCGGAUCAGCAUGCCGCGGUGAAUACGUUCCCGGGCCUUGUACACACCGCCCGUCACACCAUGAGAGUCGGGAACACCCGAAGUCCGUAGCCUAACAGCAAUGGGGGCGCGGCCGAAGGUGGGUUCGAUAAUUGGGGUGAA